rnacentral:rRNA from 1 species
GAUGAACGCUAGCUGCAGGCUUAACACAUGCAAGUCGAGGGGAAACGACAUCGAAAGCUUGCUUUUGAUGGGCGUCGACCGGCGCACGGGUGAGUAACGCGUAUCCAACCUGCCCAUCACUUGGGAAUAACCUUGCGAAAGUAAGACUAAUACCCAAUGACAUCCCACGAAGACAUCUGAAUGGGAUUAAAGAUUUAUCGGUGAUGGAUGGGGAUGCGUCUGAUUAGCUUGUUGGCGGGGUAACGGCCCACCAAGGCAACGAUCAGUAGGGGUUCUGAGAGGAAGGUCCCCCACAUUGGAACUGAGACACGGUCCAAACUCCUACGGGAGGCAGCAGUGAGGAAUAUUGAUCAAUGGGCGAGAGCCUGAACCAGCCAAGUAGCGUGCAGGAUGACGGCCCUAUGGGUUGUAAACUGCUUUUAUAAGGGAAUAAAGUGGGUCUCGUGAGACUUUUUGCAUGUACCUUAUGAAUAAGGACCGGCUAAUUCCGUG